UACGUAGGGUGCGAGCGUUGUCCGGAAUUAUUGGGCGUAAAGAGCUCGUAGGCGGUUUGUUGCGUCGGCCGUGAAAACCUGCAGCUUAACUGUGGGCCUGCGGCCGAUACGGGCAGACUUGAGUUCGGUAGGGGAGACUGGAGUUCCUGGUGUAGCGGUGAAAUGCGCAGAUAUCAGGAGGAACACCGGUGGCGAAGGCGGGUCUCUGGGCAACAACUGACGCUGAGGAGCGAAAGCGUGGGGAGCGAACAGG
rnacentral:rRNA from 1 species